GAGCCACAGCUGUUGUUCCUAAAACAGAUAAAAGGUGGUUGCUUUGAGGCAUAAAUGGAAUUUUUUUUUUUUUUUUUUUUGGAGGCAGCAUGGUGGCAUAGAAGCAUAUUGGAGAGUGGCACGUGGAAGCAGAAAGAAGCAUUGGAAGAAUGGGCUCCUUUGACCACAGGUUGAUACUGGACCCUUAGAAGAGUUGACUGAUACUAAGAUUAAGAGGAAGAAUCUACCCAUCCCAUGGUCCUCAGGCUGCUGGAUGUACCUCAUUUGCUGAACUCCCGUAGCUCUGCUACAGAGAGAGGAAAUGCUCCUUUUUACAUGAUCAACCCUUUGAUUUUUCAGAAUGGUUUCCAUUCCUCAGGGGAAAGACUUACGGAGUUCUGAAACCUAUGGGCUAACGGCAAGCUGAACUUCCCACAGUCCUGUCUGCACUUCUUUCCCUCCUGUUUGGUAGGGCAUCUGCCGAAGGAUGAUAUUCAACUAAUAAAUAUCCAGCACGGCCGCCCCGAACAGCCAGGAAUUUCUCCAACUCUUCCGACAUGGGAUCAUCUGCAGGGAUUUGAUGAAACAGCGGAGCGGACAGCUACAUUCGUUACAGUGUGUGUGACUAUGUGUGUGUGUCCCUCUCCUGCAAUUAGAUUGGGAAUCAAGUAAAGCUUUGCACAGUA